rnacentral:misc_RNA from 1 species
GGAUGAAGAACGUAGCGAAAUGCGAUAAGUAAUGUGAAUUGCAGAAUUCAGUGAAUCAUCGAAUCUUUGAACGCACCUUGCACCCUUUGGCAUUCUGAAGGGUAUGCUCGUUUGAGUGUCAUUGUACUCUCACACUCCCGAUCUUUGCAUUGGGAGCAGUGGACUUGGGUUUGCUGCUUCACCGUCGCUUACCUCAAAUAGGUUAGUGCAACUCUUGGUUGGACAUAGUACGGCGUGAUAAGUGUUCUUCGCCGGUGCCUCGCAAAGAGGGUGGCCGAUCGGGAUGUUGUGCUCCAAACCGUCUUCGGACAAUCUCUGACGACUUGACCUCAAAUCGAGUAAGACUACCCGCUGAACUUAAGCAUAUCAAUAAGCGGAGGA